rnacentral:lncRNA from 10 species
CCCGAGACCAGCCCCUGCGCCACGUCCCAGCUAAGACCAUCUUCUGCCUUCCAUGCCCCUUCUACUCUUGUUUCUGGUUUUUUCCUGCCUGCCUUAUUUUCCCCAAACUCAGAGAGUCCCUUGGGCCCUGAGGGUCUCUGACUUGUGCCUUUCGAUGCGGGUCUCUUCUCUGGAUUUAAUCAGCACCUGCUGGUGAACCAGGCUGUUCUGGGCCUGAGGCUGGAGCCAUUCUGCAGCUCAGGAACCUCACUUGUCCUAGAGCCAGCCUCUAGCAUCUAGCUGCAUGUCCUGUUCCUCCCACAGAGUUAGGCUGGCA